GGCUCACCAAGGCAACGAUCCGUAGCUGGUCUGAGAGGAUGAUCAGCCACAUCGGGACUGAGACACGGCCCGAACUCCUACGGGAGGCAGCAGUGGGGAAUAUUGGACAAUGGGGGCAACCCUGAUCCAGCCAUGCCGCGUGUGUGAAGAAGGCCCUCGGGUUGUAAAGCACUUUCAGCGAGGAAGAACGCCUAGCGGUUAAUACCCGCUAGGAAAGACAUCACUCGCAGAAGAAGCACCGGCUAACUCCGUGCCAGCAGCCGCGGUAAUACGGAGGGUGCAAGCGUUAAUCGGAAUUACUGGGCGUAAAGCGCGCGUAGGUGGCUUGAUAAGCCGGUUGUGAAAGCCCCGGGCUCAACCUGGGAACGGCAUCCGGAACUGUCAAGCUAGAGUGCAGGAGAGGAAGGUAGAAUUCCCGGUGUAGCGGUGAAAUGCGUAGAGAUCGGGAGGAAUACCAGUGGCGAAGGCGGCCUUCUGGACUGACACUGACACUGAGGUGCGAAAGCGUGGGUAGCAAACAGGAUUAGAUACCCUGGUAGUCCACGCCGUAAACGAUGUCGACCAGCCGUUGGGUGCCUAGCGCACUUUGUGGCGAAGUUAACGCGAUAAGUCGACCGCCUGGGGAGUACGGCCGCAAGGUUAAAACUCAAAUGAAUUGACGGGGGCCCGCACAAGCGGUGGAGCAUGUGGUUUAAUUCGAUGCAACGCGAAGAACCUUACCUACUCUUGACAUCCUGCGAAUUCGGUAGAGAUACCUUAGUGCCUUCGGGAACGCAGAGACAGGUGCUGCAU
rnacentral:rRNA from 1 species